AGCCAUGCAUUGAGCACAUAGCGAACUAUUCUUUCGCCUUUUACUAAAGAAUACCGUGUGCUCGCUGCUCAAAGUGGCAUACGCCUAUUUUUGGAGAGUCCUUUCUUUAAUAGAAGGGCU
rfam:Helianthus annuus linkage group 5, whole genome shotgun sequence.